GCUUGCACUGCAAGUUAAAAAACAAAACAAAAAAGUUAGAAAUAAUAAUAAAUUAAAAAGAAAGGAAAAUUAGGAGCGACAGCACCAGCAUUCAGUGAUGGUGAAUGCUCAUGCAAUGAUUAUGGAAUUGACAGAAAUUAAAACCAAAAAUUUGAGAAGGCUACUCUACAUGACAAGCAAAAGCAAAAUUUAAUACUGAAUUAAAGACAUACGGUUAGUUUCCAUUUGUAUGUAAUUUAGAAUUCACAAGUGACUUCUUGAAACCACUGCAUGUCUAGUGGGAGGAUUUACUGUUUGGCUUUUGUUUUCUCAAAUAACACAAAACCAUUAUCUAUUAGGUUUGGGUGUCCCAUUAGUACUGAAUAGGAGCUUCAUUUUCCACUUCUGAGCUGCUGAAGGAGUCAGAGAAUAAAUAUACAAUAAAUGCCUUUGUACAACUGACUUGAAGAAAAGGUCUAAAGCACUUUAGGGAUUGAAAUUACAUAGUGAAUGGAGGACAUGCUAUUAAUCUAGUUGGGUAGGGGAAAAAAAGGACAAUCACUGGAAUGGUUACAGCUACAGCAAUGCCAGGAGCUUUCCCCCUCUUUUAGGUACAAAGUAAUGCCAAACCCACGGUCCACGUGUCUAAUUUUAUGCAACUGCAAAACAUGCAACCUUAUUCCUUAGCAAGAAUCAAAACGAUUUUUUUUUAAAAGAUGAGUGGAUGGUUGGGUAAACUGUAGUUAUUAGAUGCCAAGUAUGGUUUUAAAAUGAUGAAUUUUAAAACUGUUUGCAUCUUAAUCAGCAAAUGCCUGCUGGCAAUUGUGCAGACAGUUUUCAGAAAAGAGGAACACUGUCCACUGACCAACUUACCCCUGGGCGUCCCACCACUGUGGUAUAGCCGCAAACAAGGAAAGUGACUUCGUGGCCAGAGAUGGCAGAAGGUGGGGUCCAGCUAAUGGCAGUGCCAGGGUUAGUUCUACUUUGCCUGUCAUCUUAGGAAAUGUUAUACACUCUCAUGCCACUACAGGUCAAGGAGAAGUAUAAAGCCUUACCUACAUUAAAAAAGGAGCGUGUCAUUAGAAUAGAAAAAAGAGAAUUUAAAACUAUUAGAAAAACUAAGUUAGGCUUGGAGGUGGAAGCAUAGCAGGUAAAUAAGUAAGCAUCUGCCUUUUCAUUUUCUACCUAUAACAAAGUCAGUUCCUGAAUGGCAACUCCCACAUCUGUUCCAGCUAUGCUAGGAGGCAUCUUCCCAGCUCUUUUCAAAGUGCUGCUCUGUCUAGCCUGGCCACUGUCUUUCUGCGGUCCCUCUAACCAAAACACUCCACUACCACUGGCAGUAAGAGGUGUGAUUUUUUUUUUUCUUGGACAUUUCAGGCCUCCACUGGCAGUUGCUUUCACUGUACAAAUGUAAAGUGUGGAAAAGGGUAAGGACCUAGAAAAAGUUAUACAAAAAGUAUGUGCCAUUGUCAGGUGCAAAACCUGGCGACUACUCUGAACCAAAUUAAGUAUAAUAUCCUUCAAAAUAAAUGAGAAUAUAUAAAUAAGCUAAAAUAGAAUCCACACAGGCUUCAUAGAAACUUUGAAAGCAUUACACAUUGGUAAGGCCCCAGGAUAGGAAGAAAAUAACCUAACAUGUUCAAAAGGGCAAGGAAAAACCUCCCUACACUGGGAAGUUUGUUACUAAAUAAACUUUUCUAAAAUGGAGGCACAAUAAUGAUCAGCUCUUGGAAUUUCUAUUGCUUAAAGGCACGUCUAGUAUACACGAAAUACUCUUUUAACAUUGCUGGUCUUUUGGAAACAUUCUUAGUUUUAAAACUUGAACCUUUAUGCACUGAGUGCCUCAGGGUGAAAAGAAAAACUUGACUUUGCAUUUCCUAAGCUGUAAGUCAGCAGCUUUUUGUCUCAUUCAUACCUAUAGAUGUAUGUGUACACACACACAAACACACACACACAGACACAUACACACCCCUAUAUCCUUGGUUAGUUUAGCUUGGAUUAACAAAGGUACAAUGCCAAAUGGCUUUCAUCUGUCUUCACUGGAAGAGUCACUGUAAUCUGAGUCUCUGCAUGGGAAACAUCACCAUUAGUGUUAGAUGCUCUCCUGACACGCAUAGCUACAAAGGGUUUUCUUAGAUUAUAAUCCAUGUGCUUGUUACUCUCAGAAUUAAUCCAGCAUAACUAAAUUUUGGGCCUUGAACUCCUUUGGUCACUUGGAUCUGUGCCAACUCCAAAUAAAAUCACAACCACUUCAAUUAUUGUUCAGAACAUUUGCCUCCUCCCUUUCUCUGGUGAUACAUUUUCUGCUGUCUCAGAGCUCAGAAUGUCAAAGUUUGUAAAGCAUGAUUUAAAACUCUCUCAGUAUGUCAUUGUAGCAGUCCAUUUUUAUUUUUACUGCAGGCAACAUGAGAUUCCUUAGGGGUGAGCCUACUGCACAUUCACCAAGACUAAGUGGACAAUAGCACUGUGCUCACUUCUCCCUAUAACACAUCUCAAUUAUUGUGCAGAGACUUGAUCCUAUGUACUCUAUGUUUAAAGAAUGUAAUUCUUUAUGUGCUUGAGCAUCAGUGUUUUUACUUAUGGUCAGCUUUUUCCCUAGAACCUUGGCAUGUAAGGCGAAAGAGCAAGACUUCCUGAAACAAGUUCUGAGUUUCUUUAUAUUAAAUAGCUGCCGUAAAGCACCGUACAUUAGACAAAGGAGGGUGGCAUCUGCAUAUUUGUCAUUGAGACACCACAAAGGUUUUCGUUAGUGGUAUUCUUACCAUCGUGCUUCCUGUCAAAACCGAUAGCUAUUGACAUAAAACUAGGCUUUAUGAUGAUUCAAAGGAGAGCUUCAAAUCACAGGAGAAUGUCAAGGGAGGCCUAAAUCUCCCACUGGUUUCAGGCAGCUGCUACUGGAGUAUCAUAGGAAGUGACCAACUCAAGAGCAGAAUCUGACCCUUUGGCACAUGACAUUAAGACCCUAUUUUAAAAAACCUUUUAUGAGUGGGUUUAGGUUUGGCUUGAGGUUGGCAGAGGUGUCAACUGGAUAGGCAUUUGGAUCCCAUUUCACAAUAAAACAAUUCAUCAUAGUGAAUUUAGAGGAAACUAGUGGCCACUAGCAGCUCUUCCAAAUGUUUCAUUUUGGGAACGAGACUUUCAGUGACUGGCUUACGAAGUCUUACAACACAGAAUAGGAAAAUAAUUUUAACAAUUGUGAUUUUAGGAUGCUCUCUAUCAAGAGUCAUGAGAAUUGUCUUCAGAGGGUGCUGAAGAGACAUCAACCUGUCUUCUUUGAGACUCCUAGUGUUGGUGUGGAAGAUGCUACUGGAGACAACAGGUUCCUCCAGGCCUGAUUGCUUGGUCAAUUGUGAAUCACCUUUGAUGAAACAUACUCCGGCAUAAGAUGAGCCAGCGUGUGGCACCUGGCAUUUCAUUAAACAAUUGCACUGACUUAGAGGAUGCCCAGGAACCCAGACCACUACAUACACCAAAUCUCUUUUCUGAAAAUCCAUGGAGAAAUUUUUCCAGAGCUCACGCUGGCCCCAAACAAGGGGCUCCAAAGGGUUAUGGAAAACGACCUGGAGAGUUAGAUAUGCUGACAACGAAGGAUAUCCAGGAUUCCUUGUGGAGUGAAAAAAGGAAAAUGCACAGGAUGAACAACAUGAUCUCAUUUGUGUAAAAGCAAAACAAGAAAGCACCUAUGUAACUGUGAGAAAGCUGUUUUUAUCUGUCCAGUGUGUCUCUCUCCCAAGCCCUGUCUCCUUUCUGAUCCUGUCUUCUUGCCUAUGGGGAACCUUGUAUGUUUUGGAGUGAACUGACUCCAUCUUCCCCCCAGGCUGAGCGUGUAACUAAGUCCUGGCCAAUCAGUGAAAUCCUGACUGUUUGGUGAGACGUGUCAGGAAUGCCUUGUUCCUUCCCCUGAGGUUGCUCGGCUGGUGAUGCUGACAGAGCCAGACUGCUGUCAUGAGGAAAAUGCCUGAAUGUGAAGCAAGCAGAAGCAGGAUCAAGAACCAGAGACAGAGGCCUGAUGGGGCUCAUUGAACCCCUGGAGCCAGCUGCUCUUAAUUACCCAAUUCAUGAUAUUACCUUUUCAGUGUGUGUUGGAGGGUGGGGGAGAGUCUUAACUGGGUUUAAGCUGUAUUUCUGCAAUUCUCUGUGGAAAAUUUCCUGACACAAGAAUACUAAAAGAGCGAUGCAACGUGACUGGCUUUGAGAAUGGAUGGAAGGAGCCAAGAGCCAAGGAAUGCAGGCAGCUUCCAGAAGCUGGAAAAGGCGCGCACUCUCCCUAAAGGUUCCAGGAAGGAAUGCAGCCCUGCGGACCCAUACUGGACUCCUACCUACAGAACUGUAAGCCACCAAAAGCAAUUUCCUAAUACAGAAAGAUGUCAAAAGUUUCUAGAAGGAUCCCACAGUGUUAUCUCUGUGAAAUGGAAAUGGGGGUGGGAGAUGAAAGGGAAGUGUUUUAUAACAUUUUAAACAACAAAUAUAUAUUAUGUUCAUUAGUUUGAAAAACUAAUUUUAAACAUGUUUAAGAAUAGAACCUGACAAAUAUCUAAGAAUCACAGGUAUUGUAACCCACCCAGGAGACUCCAAAUAGGACUGCUUUACACGUCUAACAGGGCAGCAUCAAUUUGGUCUCUGAGGAAUUCAGCAUCUGAAUUGUCUUAUUUAACACAAGGAGUCAGCCCCUGAGCCAGCACACCCCACUGCACACCACAUACCCAGUUAAACCAGGAUCCCACCAGAAGGCUUUCCCCUACCGUCCCCUGCAGGAGCCAGGACAGAACUCUCAGACAUGUUCUUAGAGCUGAUUUUGGAGACAGGGCUGGGGAGGCACUGAAGAGAAGCCAGAAUAGUAAUUGGCCUGCGAUUACAAUUUAGCAUACUUUUCAAUAGAAACCCAACAAAUCGCCAACAAAUUGCUAUGCUAAUGAAGAAUUGCCCUGCUCUGCAAUGAGCAUUUAUCAUGAGAGAAAGGACAACCCAUUCACGCCACUCUGUAGAACUAGCUGCCAUUCGGGAGAUCUCCUGCUGAAUUUUAAAAGGCUUCACGUAGGGAAAAGGGGAAAGCAUGAGAUGAGAGUUGGCUGUGUUCUCUCCAGUCUUUCUCUUAUCCAGUGCUUAAGAUACAAUGCCAGGGAGCAAGUUGGUGUAGCGUGCCUGCCAAUUGUGGCUUUCUACUAAUGAAUGCCCAGCACAGAGGCUACAUGCAGUAGAGUCAUCAAGAAGUUCAAGAAGUUUUUAAAAAAGAAAAAUAUCUGCACUCCCCCCAACUUCCAUAACUGACAAAUAAGCAAAUGGUGGUUCUCACAUUGAACACACACCUUUUCUAAAUUCUCUUUGCUUUACUUGGACAAGAAAAGUAAGUCUGACACAUUCUGCCAAGCUUAGGGAAAAGACAGUCCACUUGGCUACAUACAGAAUUCUUUGAUCUGUCUCAAAGUGAUGUCUCAGAGGGAAAUGCCCAGAGGACAAUGCCAACAGAUCAACACAGCCCAAACCACUUCACUGCUGUUUCACCUGCCAUUCAUCAGGCGUGAUGGGGAGAGAGAGGAACAGCCAUCUGUUCCACACACACUUUUUUUAUAUUUUGAUUUUCUUUAUCCCCCUUCCUUUCCACCUUCCUCUUCUUAGUCCAAAAAGGAUAUGGCAUACAAAAAAUUAGCUGGGCAUGGUGGCUACUGUAAUCCCAGCUACUCAGGAGGCUGAGGCAGGAGAAUUGCUUGAACCCGGGAGGCAGAGGUUGCAGUGAGCCAAGAUCGCCCCACUGCACUCCAGCCUGGGCAACAGGGCAAGACUCCUCAAAAAAAAAAAAAAAAAAAAAGAUAUGGCUAGAGGGGUGAAGAAAAAUACCAAGGCAGAGGCCUAGUCCAAAGUAAAAUGUUUAAGGGAUCUUAACAAUAUUGUAAUGAUCAGUUGCUUAACUGUGUGACAGAAAUACUAAUAGUAAUUUGAGUAACAUGACAAAACAUACAACGCAUUUACCUAAAUACAGCUCUCAAUCUUUAUAACUUGUGACAUGUAUAAGGCAGAUAUUUUGCCUUGUUUUACUGAUGAAAGAAAGAGAAUAAACAUGUCAUUCUUAUUUCACUGAAGCAUGUCUCUCCGACAGUUACCUGUCAAUAUCUAAGGAUCAAAUUUCUUGCUGUGUGGGUGAUGAAUAACUUACCAACACAAAGGAUGUUGAAACAGAAUCCUUGAGAAGUAGACUUGUUGACCAGCUGGUCAGGGAGGCUGUCAAAUCCCACAUGGCCAGACAAAGACAAGUUUCGAAGCUCUUCAUUCUGCAAUUUCAGGGGAGAAAGAUUUGAGUGUCCAUGAACCAUGCCACCUGGAUAUCACAUAUCACAAACAUUACAUUCUUUCUUCUUCUUCCCUUGACAUACAUGGAAAAAGGAGACCCCCGACAGCUGCCUUGGCUUCUACACAGCUGAGGGCACUAACAACUCCAAAGCCAAGCUCUUUCCACAAAAGUCACAGUCUCCCAAAGCAGACCAUCUCCCUGAGCAUCUCAUUCCUUGUUACAAGUGUACUGGUCCAGGGAAAUUUGAGCUUCUAGAGGUGACUAUUUCAGAUAUGCAUUAAGUGACCAAAAAAACACAAAAACCUCCAGUCAUUUUGAUCACUUUCAUUAUUCAAGAAAAGCUUUCAAUUUACUGUCAACUCAUAGUGAAAAAAUAUUUAACACUCUUCCAGAUACAUAAAAGAACUUUGAAAAGCUCACAGUGGAGGAUUCAUACUCCUUACAAUGAUGACAAUGCUCUACCUACCAUAAAUCCAGCAUAUUUAAAACUUCUCAGCACAUGAGCUGGUUUCCUCUCCUCCAUUAGUUUUACAGGUUUCUUGAGUCUUCUUCCCCCUCUUCACCCUGUAGCUCCUAGCACAGGCUCUGUAACUGCUGGAGUUUUGCAGAGUUUACCGAUGUAGACUGGGGUAAGGUAGUUAUCAUACAUUUUAAAAUCACAUAGGAUAUGGCUGGAAGCUAAAGUAAAAUCAUUGGGUGAUUUAUGCUGUUAUAUAAAAUGGUACUGGCUGCCCCCACAACUUUGAAUGCAUCCCGUGGGUGUUGGAGAUAAUCUGUGAAACCUUUUUUUCUCAAGAUGCAGAGAUCAGCUACAGUCCCUCAGUUAUAAUAUCAUGGUUACGGUUUGCAAUUUCAGAAAUUAGACACUGAAAGUCUUCUCCUUGGAGACAGGACUCCUAGUGUUCUGGCUGUGUUGUCAAUGAACUUUAUAUUCAAAAUACUGGAGUCCAGGUGAGAAAAUGAUCCUCAAAGCUCCAUUUUUAUUUUUAUUAUUUAUUAUUUUUAUUUUUAUUAUUUAUUUUUUGAGAUGGAGUCUCACUCUGUCGCCAGGUUGGAGUGUAGUGGCACGAUCUCAGCUCACUGCAACCUCUGCCUCCUAGGUUCAAGUGAUUCUAGUGCCUCAGCCUCCCGAAUAGCUGGGAUUAUAGGCACGUGCCACCACGCCCAGCUAAUUUUUGUAUGUUUAGUAGAGACAGGGUUUCACCAUGUUAGCCAGGCUGGUCUUGAACUCCUGACCUCGUGAUCCGCCCGCGUCGGCCUCCCAAAGUGCUGGGAUUACAGGCAUGAGCCACCACACCCAGCCAUUUUUUUUUUUUUUUUUAGAGACAGGGUUGCACUGUCACUCAGGCUGGAGUGCAGUGGUGUGAUCAUAGCUCACUGCAGCUUCAAACUCCCGGGCUCAGCCAGCUUCAGCCUCCCAAGUAGCUGUGACUACAGGCAUGUGCCACCACUCCCAGCUUCAAAGUUCCAUUUUAUUUAAAAAAAAAAAAAAAAAAAAAGCUUUGUACAGGAUCACUUAGUCAAUGUUUUCAAAAGACUGGUUUUCAUCAUCCUAUUUUUAUGUUACAUAAUCAAGAGGGUGAUUUCUUUUAAUAAGCAAGGACUAAGACCCCAUUUCAAAUGUUUGUGGUCACUAUAUAGGCACAGAAAUGUGACUCCAGAAAUGCAGUGAUUUUAAAGGACUUCAAUGGUUUUAUUAAUAAUAAAAUGUCUAAAGUCCAUAUCAGCUCUAAAAUUCUGAUUCUGUGAAAUAAGACUAAAAGCCACCACACUGCCUGAAUACCAUGGUGGCAGCUGCAGAUUUGAGGUCAAUGGGACAGACAACAGAUGUCUAGUCUAUGAAUAGUUUCCUUGAAACCUGCCAACAGUGAAUAUGAGACUCAAGAGUAGGCACUUAUCCUUGAACAGGAUGGCAUGGUAGGCAGCUCACCAAACAGCUUCGAGGGCAGGCCCCAGUAGGCAGCAGUCCUUGUAGCUGGGCAAGCCUUCCAACAAUACUGUACUUCUUCCAGCCCCAAUCCUUGUACCUGCCCCUUCCUCUUUAGAUACCUCAAAGGUUCAGACAGCAGGUGUUUUUAAGGUGUUUACCACAUCCGCCAAGACUUGGGGGAGGAGGGUUUGAAAUGAGUCCUGGGUUAUUUUUAGAACUCUUUCCACCUAGCUGUGCAGUAGCUGUUGUGUAUCAGGCUAGGAGAAGCCAUGGCACCAGCCUUCAUUUCUGCUACAUCACUGACUUCAACCGUUCGUGAACGGUAUGAAAGAGACAACGCAGGGCAGAACUAUCAUCCCACAUUCCCUCUCUCCACCGCCACAUAAUUCUGUUAAUUUCAGGGGGAGGGGAGAAUGGUUUAUUGCUCUGGAUUCUGGAUCGCUGGGUUUUUAGAUACCAGAUAUCCACCUAUGAACCAAUCCUGGGAAAGAAUCAGAGUUAGUAAUUAUAGCUCUCAUCCCAGAACCCAAAGCUCAGCAUCUCAUAUUCUCACCAUUUCCAAAACAUGAGAAGCCACCCACACACCCACUAAGUAUUUUUAUACCCAUUGAAAACCACAUACAAAAUGAAGGGUUAUAAAACAGUUUGGUCUUGACAUUUUUGAAAUUUAAAGUUGUAUCUUUAGAGUCUGUCUUCUAACACUGUAAUAUAGAAUAUGUAAAUUUUAUAAUACAGUUUUUACAUUUCAUAAUUUGAGCCUAAUUCUCUGCCCAGUAUUAAAGGAAACCUGAGAGUCACUGCCCAUCAGUAUGUCAUGGGGGAAAGGGAAAAAGAAGUUCCUCCUCUGGUUUAUGAACAGGCUUAAAAACUGGAGAGAACGGCACUGGAGGACAUGCACAGGGCAGCUCUGAGCACCUUACCCAGUGCCUCCAGCACAGCAGCUGAACCGCAUCCCUCCAGUCCAGCAUUUUAUAGCUCUUCCCUUAGCUACCACAAGCCAAGGAUUGAGGGGUCUUUUUUGAGUCUCCAGGCCCAGUUUCAGGGAACUGCAUAUAUUCCAUGUCGUUAACACUAACACAUCUGGAAACGACUCUCUGAAUUUAUCUCUAAUAUUGAACUCUGCUUGGCAUCCAGUUCUGAAUUUCUAUCAGAGGAACACUUCUCUUGGGUUGUCCCAUCUGUACUUCAAACUUGAUGUUCAUGAAACUGAAAUCAUAUUCUUCUAUCCCAAACUCGCCCCUUCUCCAGAGUUCCCUAUUUCUGUUAACAGUACUUAGCCAUGCUUGAGACCAGCUCCCCUCCCACCAUCAACUCUGAAGUCUUAUCAAUAUUACAUCCUCCACAUUUCUAUUCCUACUAAUUCAACAGCCUCCCAACUGGCCUCCCUGACUUGAUCUCACCCUCUCUAAUACUUCCUCCCUCCACCUUGCCAUCAAGGGGAUCUCGGUACUCAAGGUCCCCAAUCCAAACUCCUUGGCCUGUCAUUUCAGGGCCCCAUGGGCUAACCCCAAGUCUUCAUUCCUACUGAAUCUCCCACUUCUCCCCAGGGAGCACCUUACACUGCAGUUAAAUUAAAUGACCACUCUUCUUGGGACAAACCCAGGUUUCUUCCCAUCAGAAUUUACUCACAUUAUUUCCUCUAUGUGAAAGGCCCUUACAGCCAGUGUUUACAUAUCCAAAUCUUCCAGAUCCCAAUAAAAUUAUACCUCCAUCAUUGUCUUUAUUAUGAAAUCUUGGGGAAAAUUUCACCAAACAUUCUUCUGACCAAUAAAAGGAAAAUACUGAUUGAAAAGCUGCUCAAGCUAUUUGGAAUUCCACCAUGAUAAUAACAGCUAACAUUUAUCCCUUCCAAUGCUCCAGAAAAGCCCUAAUUUCUCUCUCUUAAUAAUUCUAUAAAUUAGUUACAUUGUUACCCAAACUCAAUUUACAGAUGAGAAAACAGAGGCACCGUUUAGUAACUUGCCCAAGGUUUCCCAACUAGUAAAGUCAAGGUGCUGAAAUUGGAACCCAGGAAGUCAGGUUCCAGAGUUGUCGAACAUAGUCAUUGCUGUCUCAUGAAACUGAAAUUUAUCUCAUGAACUGAAUAUUAAGUUCCCAGGUAGCCCCAGACAGCAUAAUUAUUUCAGCUGUUAUAAAAAUCCAAUACAUUAAAAUAGAAGGAAAAAAAUACUCUGAAACCAUGAUUCUCUGGCAACCUUAAGAGGUGGAAAUUGAGAAUUAGAACUGGCAAAGUAGCUCCAAGUAUAUUUUCACUGAUCCUGGCAAUGCCAAGACCAAAUAUGAUUUUUGUAGUGAUGGCACAUGAAACCCAUAAUAUAAUGCUUAGUUUUAACCAUUUUUGAAAAGAAAGUGCCAACACAGAACCACUAAGUAAGUAACUAUAAGACCUUAAUUGAUUUAGCCCUGCAUUUGCUAAUCUACCUAGUGAGGAUUUGUAAUUAGGUAAUUUCUAUAGCCCACUCCAUCUUGAAAUGGAUUAUGACUAACCUUUAUGGUGUAAAAUAAACUUGUUUUUCACUUGACAAUUUCACUUUUCUCUUUUUAGAACAUAUCCUCUUAGAUACAAUUAUUUAUUUGUUCAUUCAAAAAUACCCACUGCUCAAAGCACUAAGAAAGCUAAAAUAAGUUAUUUUUAUAAUUCAUUGAAGAACACUGCAGUUCUGACCCUUAAGAGGUUUUACAAUGUAGUAGUAGAGCUAGGACAGAUGUAAAUGUAGGACUAUGAAGGAUAAAAGUCAUGAAUACCAUGGCGUCAACUAUGGGAAGGCAUGGAGGAGAAGUAGUUUUUGUCUAGGGAAAUUCAGGGGGUACCUUUUAGGAAAGCUAAAGUUCCCCAAAUCUAUCAGUGAAACAAAAGCCCAGCUUGCAGAACCCUUCCGGAUAAAUGUUAUCUAUGCCCAAAAGGUCACUUUCUUAUGAAUGUAUACCUGAAGUGUAUAACUGGUAGUUUUUCAGAAAAUUCCCAGCUGACUUCAUUAUUGAGAUAAUUAUAAAACAAAUUAUGUAAGAAUAUGUGCCACCACCUACAUUCUGAGCGCUGCUGUAAAAUAUGUUCCACAAUUCCAAAUCUUGCUUCACCAGAGAAGGGCAGCAAAAGGCUUAGAGUCAGACAGACAUGGGUUUGAAUCCCAGCUUUGCUUUCUACUUGCUUUAGUCUCUAUUCUGCCCUCAGUAAAAACAGGAAGAGGUGCUAGGCUCUCUCAUACAUAUCUCCUUGGCAGGGUUGUUGGGAGGAGAUAAAGAGGUAUGGAUGAGAGUGCCUAGCACUUAACAGGUCUUCUGAAACUUGGACUUCCUUUACCUACAGUAGUUGGGAGGAAGAGGCAACUAUCAUUUAAAAAUCUGAAAUUAAUCAGAAGUUCUAUUACAGCUGCUAGGCAUUCCAGGAGAAGCUGCUGACCAGCAGGGCUCUCGGACAUAUGAAUAAGGUAAAAUCACAAUAAAAAUAAAGUGAACAGAAAGAAAUAAAAAACGAGAAGGAUGAUUCUAGCAUGAAGAAAAUCCAUUCCUAAAGAGAAAACUCAUUUACAAAGCUGGAGGAAAAGCCACAGAAUCACAUUCCUGUUUGCAGAAUCAGCAGUUAGCAGAAUCCACAUCCUCCCCAGCUGGGGAAGCAUUCUGGAUUCCCCAUCACUUUUGCUUCUGCAGUCAUGCACCACUUUGUGAUGAGUAAACAUUCUGAGAAACAUGCCAGUAGGUGAUUUUGUUCUUGUGUGAACAUUCUAGAGCAGUGGUCCCCAACUGUUGUGGCACCAGGGACCAGUUUGUGGAAGACCAUUUUUCCACGGACAGGGUUGGUUUGGGGAUGAAACCGCUCUACCUCAGAUCUUUAAGCAUUAGAUUCUCAUAAGGAACGCACAACCUAGAUCUCUCCCAUGCACAGUUCACAACAGGGCUCAGGCUCCUAUGAUAAUCUAAUGCCUGAAGCUGAUCUGAAGGAGGCAGAACUCAGGCGGUAAUGCUGACUAGCCCAUCACUCGCCUCCUGCUGGCCAGCCCAGUUCCGGACAGGCCACGGACUGGUCUCAGUUGGCAGCCUGGGGAUUGGGGACUCCAUCCUAGAGUGUACUUGUGAGACGUGAAGCCAGCUGGACUUCCUGGGUCGAGUGGAGACUUGGAGAACUUUUCUUACAAGAGGAUUGUAAAACACACCAAUCAGCACUCUGUAGCUAGCAAGGGGAUUGUAAAAUGCACCAAUCAGUGCUCUGUAAAAACACACCAAUCAGUGCUGUAGCUAGCAAGAGGAUUAUAAAAUGCACCAAUCAGUGCUCUGUAAAAACACACCAAUCAGUACUCUGUAGCAAAAGGAUUGUAAAAUGCACCAAUCAGCACUCUGUAAAACGCACCAAUCAGGAGGAGUCUAAAAGUAGCCAAUCGCGGGGAGGAUUGAAAAAAGGGCACUCUGAUACAACAGAAACAGAACAUGGCAGGGACAAAUAAGGGAAUAAAAGCUGGCCACCCAAGCCAGCAGCAGCAACCGGCUCAGGUCCCCUUCCACGCUGUGGAAGCUUUGUUCUUUUGCUCUUCACAAUAAAUCUUGCCGCUGCGCACUCUUUGGGUCCGUGCCACCUUUAAGAGCUGCAACACUCACCGUGAAGGUCUGCGGCUUCAUUCUUGAAGUCAGCAAGACCACAAACCAACCGGCAGGAACAAACUCCAGAUACACUUACACAAACCUAGAUGGUAUAGCCUACUAGACACUUGGAUAUAUGGGAUAGCCUAUUGCUCCUUGGCUAUAAACCUGUACAGAAUAUUACUGUACUGAAUGCUGUAGGCAACUGUAACACAAUGGUAAAUAUUUGUAUAUCUAAACAUAGAAAUGGUACAGUAAAAGUGCAGUUUUAUAAUAUUACAGAACCACGGUUGUAUAUGCGGUCCAUUGUUGACUGAGAGUUUGUAAAGCAGUACAUGACUGUAUUUUAAUCCAGCCCUGGGUCUACUGAAAUUAACAAGCUCGGUGUGCCCAGAUGGAUUUUAUUCACCAUACUUAAACUGAAGUGAUAUCCCUUUUCUUUACUUUUAAAAAUGAAGUGUUUCGGUAGAUGUGGUUAGGUAGGCCAUAGCCUCUGAUCCUUAUCAGCAGGCGGAAGCAAGACAGCAUGUUACCAAGGUGAUAUUUGAAUUGUUUAAUCCAAACAAAUUAAAAUUACGUUUCCAUUUGAAAGCAAUAUUUAAUUUUUACCUUUAAAAUCAGGUAUUACAAUUUAAGUUUAGAAAGAUUUUUCUCUUUAAAAUUUAUUUUUUUUUUUAAUUUAAGAGAUAACAUUUAUAUAUUCAGGUGGAGAGCUGGAGAUUUUUAUUAACAAGACAUGGUGAUUACAUUUUUCUCAACGCCUCAGAUUAUGGAUAAAUAAAGUAUACUGAUCCAAGUCACUUAAUCCUCGGGCUUAUGUUUCCUCCUCUGUAAAGUGAGGAGAUUUAAUCAAAUUACCUCUAAACAAAGUCUCUGGUUCUUUGUUUUUUCUAAUUCUAAGGCUUCUUAAUCUGGAUGUUAGAGAUGCAUAAAUCCAAUUCCGUCAUUUUGCUUAAGGAAAGCCAACACAGGGUGAAAAAUUCCUGGUAGCAUAUUUGCUCUGGCCAGAUCAAGAUGGCUCAAGUUUUAAUUGACCCAUGAAAGGGAGUUUCUAUCAGUUAUGCUGGGAAACUCCAAACCAAAUGGAAAUCUGUGUGCAUAACCUCUGUGUUUUCCACCUCAACUUUUAAUUUCUGCUUAACUACAAUACAUAUGAAUUAGCUAAGAAAGUUAUGUACCCACUCUUUACAAAUGCCCUGCUUAAAAGCAAUUUCUUUUUGUUUGGCUACAUCUCCAGUCAUCCACGAGAUUUUUGAAAAGUGGAUUUAUAUCCUCAAAACAAAACCUAGGGCUGGGCGCAAUGGCUCAUGCCUAUAAUCCCAGCUACUUGGGAGGCUGAGGCAGGAGGAUCUUGCUUAAGCUCAGGAGUUAGAGGCUGCAAUGAGCCAGGAUUGUGCCACUGUACUCCAGCCUGGGUGACAGAAUGAUAUACUUUAUCUCAAAAAUAAAAAACAAACAAAAAACCUAGGAAAUGACUUCUCUGUAUAAGUUAGUUAUCUGUUCUCAAAAAGAAAAGUAAAUCUUUAUUCAUGCUUUCAUUCAUUCAGCAAAUAUUCAUCGAGUACCAGUGCGGGUAGAACACUGUGUUAAAUGCUAAGGAUACCAUGAUGAAAAAACAAAGCCUCCCCAACUCGUGGAGCGUACAGGGUAAUGGGGCACACAGAUGUCAAUCAAAUAGUCACAAAUACAUAACCAUAAAGCUAUCCAAAGGACAGGAUGCUGUGUAGCCUUAUAACUCAUGUGAUUAACUACUCAUUCUUUGAGUGAAUUCACCAGCCUAUAGUAUGUAAAAAUAUGUAUUAGUCCAAAGCACUGUUGAAUAUUAAUUUAAUAGGCGGCCCCUGUGUACAGCUGAUGUGCAGGUUUCACAUAUUCAGAUGAAAACAAAUAGUCUUUCUGAGCAGCAGUACCUGAUGGGAGAAGGUAGAAAUAUCAGAACUCAGGUUUCAAGGGAACAGAUGUCCAAUUUUAAAGAGAGCUGAGAUGAAACCAUGGGGCAGCAGAGGGCAGAGGAGACAUGUACAGUACACUCCUUUGAGCUCUGUCUUUUCUCCUUACAGAAUAUCCACUUGGAAAAGAGAAGAAGUAUGACCCCUUCAUCUUAGGUCAUGUCUUUUUCUGAGGUCCUAUUUCAGUAGUACAGAUGCCUCUGAGCUGAAGAGAGGUAAAGAAAAGAACAUGCUGUCUCGCACACAAAAUCUUUGACUGACCACCAGCCACCUCCCAGUAUCUGGAGAAAUUCUGGCCUCAGGAACUGUCCGCAAAGCUUUGAGUGAUAAAGUCCUGCAGAAACUUUAAGAGCAACUAACUCUCCCAGGGCAUGCCAACAGAUACUUGAUUUAAAGCAUAACAAGCCCCAUCACUGACUUCAACUACUCACCACUCGGUUUCUGCUCAUCUACUUUUUAUUUUUAAAAAUGUGUAACAUCACAUUUGGGCACCUGCGAGAGAAGAAAGAAUUGACUUCAAUCCUGGCACCAUUUACUUGCCAGUUGUGGACUUUGGGAGUGUUAAUUAGCCUUUCUGAGCCUGUUUUCUCAUCUGUAAAAUGGCAUAAUUAUGGCAUCUACUCAUAAGUCUGUUGACAGAAUGAGAUCAUGUACAUGAAGUCCUUAGACACAGUGCCUAGCAGAAUGAGUGCCCAGUAUUAUUACUUAUUAUUGUUUUGAUGAGAAUUUUAAUCUAUAAAUCAGAAAAUAACCUAAGUGAAAGGAGUACUAAAAUGGGAUAUCUCCCCCAAAACAGCAAACAUUAACAACCUUAGUUAACGACCCUAUCACUAACUUAAGGGCUCCCUUGCUUGUUUUUCAUCUAGCUCAGUUUGUACUCAACUGCUAAUUACAAGUUAGGUGUUAAUUAUCUCAUAAACAUUUCUUCAAAUCACAGAGCAUUAAUUGCCUGCCCCAACUAAAAAGGCUGGAUUCCUGAGCGCUCUUCCUUUUCAUGCCUUAGGUUCCAAGCUGUUUGCUUUCUUCGAGUUGCUUCUAAUUUAUUAGUUCAGGACUUCUCCCACUGGGUGAAUGAACUGUGUUUCUUAGCAGUUGCUAUGUUCUUGCCCCUUCUAAACCACCAAGCAAAAGACAAAACAGUAGUUAAAUAUAAUUAAGUGAAUUUCAGUGAAGAGUGAUCUAGAUUUCUAAAACAACACACCGAAAGUACAAACCAAAGAGAAAAGAUGGCACAGUUAGAACUUCUGUGUAACAAGACACCAAAAACAAAAGUACAGAUACAUGACUGGCUAGGAGAAGAUAUUUGCACAUACAAUAAAGGAUGAACCUCAACAAGAUAAACAGCCCAAUUGGCAGGGCGGUGGAGGGGGGGGGUAGUGGAGGAAGGUAAGGAUGUGAAUACGUUAUUUGCAGAGAAAUAAAUAGAAAUGGCCAAUAACCACAUAAAAAGAUGUCCAACCUCACUAAGUCAUGGUAGUUGGGGAUCAUAACAACCUGGAGCUUGUGGUAUCUUGUGGAUCCACCGGCCAUCUUUAGUUAACAAUUACUUUUAAAAAAAUAGCUUACAUCCUCAUAUUUUAAAAGGUCUGUUUUUAAGAAGACAAUGCAGAGCUGUAUGGGGCAGCUGUGACAACCAUUCGGCAUUUUAUACCUAGACCUUCACCACGUUCUUUAAAGAUGAACAGUGUAUCAAUGAAUAGCUCCAAAGUUUUUUUAUUUUAAAGUGGUUUCCUUUUUCCUGCUUUCUCAAGUGAAUACUGCCCUUCUAAGAAGCUCAUAAAGUCUUGGCAUCUUCGUAAGUGUUGUGCUUAAGACAAGAUUCAAAGGUCACAAUUAAAAAGUACUUAGCUAAAACAACCUCCUCAAUAUUCUGAUCACAAUACGUAGAAAGAUUUAAAUCUUAAAUCUAAUCUAAAUCUAAUCUUAAGCUAAAAAUUAGUGUUUCCUUUCACCAGUAUACAUUGAUGUCUGCAUGAAGUCCAUGUGCUAUUCUUAAAUUUGGUACUCAAAUCUCAAUAUUUUAGGUGAAAGGCUAAAAAAAAAAACCUCUCCAUAAUUAAUAUAAAAAAAAAGCAGCAUGGAAUAGUGUGAUAAACCCCCUUGGCUGGGAGUCAGAAGUAAAGACUCCAGCUCUGCCAUAUUUUAGGGGAAUGACUUUGGGGAAAGUUACUUCUGAGCCUCUAUCUUUACUUGUAAAAUGCAUAUAAUAUUAACAUCUCAUAGGUUUGAUAUAUUAAUGUAUCAUAGGUUUUUAAUGGUUUCAACUGAUUGGAACUAUAUUAAAACUAUGAAGCACCUUGUAUAGUCUUUCCCACAUUAAACAAUUCCACAGUCGAAAA